CAGUGGCCGCGGUAAUACGUAGGUGGCAAGCGUUGUCCGGAAUUAUUGGGCGUAAAGGGCUCGCAGGCGGUUUCUUAAGUCUGAUGUGAAAGCCCCCGGCUCAACCGGGGAGGGUCAUUGGAAACUGGGAAACUUGAGUGCAGAAGAGGAGAGUGGAAUUCCACGUGUAGCGGUGAAAUGCGUAGAGAUGUGGAGGAACACCAGUGGCGAAGGCGACUCUCUGGUCUGUAACUGACGCUGGGGAGCGAAAGCGUGGGGAGCGAACAGGAUUAGAUACCCGAGUAGUCCCUGUCUCUUAUAC
rnacentral:rRNA from 1 species